GACGAACGCUGGCGGCGUGCUUAACACAUGCAAGUCGAACGGAAAGGCCCUGCUUUUGUGGGGUGCUCGAGUGGCGAACGGGUGAGUAACACGUGAGUAACCUGCCCUUGACUUUGGGAUAACUUCAGGAAACUGGGGCUAAUACCGGAUAGGAGCUCCUGCUGCAUGGUGGGGGUUGGAAAGUUUCGGCGGUUGGGGCUGGACUCGCGGCUUAUCAGCUUGUUGGUGGGGUAGUGGCUUACCAAGGCUUUGACGGGUAGCCGGCCUGAGAGGGUGACCGGCCACAUGGGGACUGAGAUACUGCCCAGAUUCCUACUGGAGGCAGCAGUGGGGAAUAUUGCACUAUGGGCGGAAGCCUGAUGCAGCAACGCCGCGUGCGUUAUGAUGGCCUUCGGGUUGUAAUCCGCUUUCGCCUGUGACGAAGCGUGAGUGACGGUAAUGGGUAUAGAAGCACCGGCUAACUACGUG
rnacentral:rRNA from 1 species